rnacentral:rRNA from 1 species
GCAAUGAAGAGCCUAGAGUGGCGUAAGGGUGCGUAACACGUAUGCAAUCUGCCCUCAACAGGAGUAUAGCUCCCCGAAAGGGGAAUUAAGCCUCCAUAGGAUCGUAGAGUGGCAUCACUUAGCGAUUAAACUACAAGGGGUUGAGGAUGAGCAUGCGUCUGAUUAGUUAGUUGGCGGGGUAACGGCCCACCAAGACGAUGAUCAGUAGGGGAACUGAGAGGUUGGUCCCCCACACUGGCACUGAGAUACGGGCCAGACUCCUACGGGAGGCAGCAGUAGGGAAUAUUGGACAAUGGGUGCAAGCCUGAUCCAGCCAUGCCGCGUGCAGGAAGAAAGCCUUCUGGGUUGUAAACUGCUUUUACCAGGGGAUAAAAUAGCUUUGCGAAGCGAAUUGAAGGUACCUGGUGAAUAAGCCACGGCUAACUACGUGCCAGCAGCCGCGGUAAUACGUAGGUGGCAAGCGUUGUCCGGAUUUAUUGGGUUUAAAGGGUGCGUAGGCGGUUUUUUAAGUCAGUGGUGAAGUACGGCAGCUUAACUGUCGAGGUGCCAUUGAUACUGGGAAACUUGAGUACUGAUGAGGUAGGCGGAAUGGACGGUGUAGCGGUGAAAUGCUUAGAGAUCGUCCAGAACACCGAUAGCGAAGGCAGCUUACUAAGGAGUAACUGACGCUGAGGCACGAAAGUGUGGGGAUCAAACAGGAUUAGAUACCCUGGUAGUCCACACUGUAAACGAUGAUUACUCGAUGUUGGCGAUACACAGCC